UCUUUACUACUUCUGUACGUGGUGUUGAGUUAUCAAUCACUCCCGAUACGAUAGCGUCUGUGCUAGAAAUGGAAGCAAGGACUGACGGAGUGGAGUAUCUGCAGGCUGGGUUCGACUCACUUCGCGAUUGGAACCGUGUCGUGAACACUAUUUGCAUGCCGGGUACUGAAUCAAACGGCAUUAUGGUUAUGUCCAAAGAUUUCAAAAUGGAGUACAGGUUUUUGAACUUCGUGGUUUGCUACAACAUUUUGCCUCUUGCAAACACGAAAAUUUUGAGAUGGGAUCGUAUCCUGUACAUGUAUCUCUUGGGUAGGCCGGAUAUUAUAAGUGCCAAAAAUAUUAACAUGAAUAUUCCGUUUCUGAUCUGGCGGAGAAUGGCAAAGGACAUCAAGACUUUAGGACAAAAUGAAAGGNAGGACAUUUGUGAAGUCCUCGGUGCAGCUUCGUACCCCGUCUCAGCGCGCUUCUUCCCCUCCUGUUGCUCCACCUCCUGCUACUGCUACUUCUUCUCGUCCUUCUAUGGACAUUUCCAAGGAAGAUAUCUCAGUUUCCUCUGUGUAUCGUGAGCAACAACGUUUAUCUGAAGAGCUUCAGAAACUGUCUGCGGAGCAAGCUGCGAUACGGAAGGAUGUGAACAAGAUGAAGCGAUUAUUAAAUAUGAUUUUUGACAAGUUAGGGUGUUGCUGAGCAGAUUUACCUCCAGGGGAUGCUUCAGAUUAGAUGUUGCGGGGUUCCUCCUUUCGUCAUUUUGGCGCUUUCUGACAAAAAGGGGGAGAUGAUGGCUCUUGAUGAUGAUGACGCAUGCAUUUAGCUUAGAAGAUGCACUUUGUUUAGUUGUGUUAGAGCAUGCAUUUAGCUUAGAUGAUGCACUUUGUUUAGUUGUGUUAGUUGUGUAAAUUUAGAUUUGAUGUUGGCUUAGGUGCUUGACUAUGAACUAUGUCACGCCCCGGGACUGAUACCAAUUUGGGCCGGCCCGAGCUCGUCGAACAGACGCUGAACGGACAGAGUUUCCCCUAUCCGCCCAAGGCUCAUCACAUGUACAUUUUCAAUAAGAAGUGCACUAGCGGAAAUAUACAAAAACGGCUUACACGAGGGUAAGCAAUAGCCAUUAGUGAAAGAAGGGAAAACUAAACAUUUACAAGUACUAUGAUUCAUUUUAGAUCAUAUACAUUGUAUCUAUCCAACUUGUACAUCCAAAUUCUUUACAUUCUUUCAUCAUUUCUUUUACAUCACAUUUACCUUAAAAUGAGCAUUACAUUCUUUUCUUUACUUUGCUUUAUACAUCAACAUCUUAAAUCAUCAAAUACAGAAGAUGAUAAAAGGGUAGCUGCUAACAAAAUGUAACCCAACUCCGAUGGCCUCUGACUACGGUGCGAUACCUUUACCGCGGUCGCUCGCCGGCUCGCUCGGUCCCGGCUCUGUGGAAUAGUGGGGUGAGAACUACAACAAGUUCCCAGUGGGUUCGGCCCCAACAUCACCGACUUUCCCACUAGGACUAACUCAGGCAUAAUAGAAAGGAUAAGUAGGAUAUAGUAACCAAUCUAUAACAUGAUGCUAAUAUGCCUGAACAAAUAGCAAGAAAUAUGUUCAACAUUAAAUAUAUGGAGAUUAUGCAAAUUCUUUCGUUCUUUAUCUUUACACUUUGUUCUUUGUUCUUUAUUCUUUGCUCUUUGUUCUUUGUUCUUUAAUCUCAAGGCUAACCCGGGGGUUUCGCCACAUUAGCUUGCUUCACAUUAAGUCCAUCAUCGCAGGAACUCACCAGCUAGGACCGUCCUUCGGGUUUACUCCAACCCGUGAUGCAUAACUCCGGAGUGCAUCGCCCGAGGGGGAGCGACCGCCCUCGAGCACGGAACUCAUAGCAAGUAUGAUCGAAUCCUUAACUCAAAGGAUUAUAAGUUCAAUCUUGACAUUACACUAACUCUAGUGUUCUUUGCAUCACUUUAUGUUGCCACUCUAGCAAUCAUAGUUCUUUACAUUUCUUUUACUUUUGCUAACUCUAGCAAUCACGUUCUUUACAUCUCUUUUACUUUAGGCUAUCUUUAGCUUUCACAUUCUUUAACUUUACACAUUCUUUAUUCUUUAUACGUUCUUUAUUGCUCUCUUUGCUUUAGCUUUAGUCAUCGUCAUCAUUCUUUACAUCACUUUGAUUCUUUGCUUCACACUAACUCUAGUGUCACUUUACUUUACAUUAUUAGAUGCCACUCGAUCUAUGUCAUAGUGUCACUCUGUUC
rnacentral:lncRNA from 1 species